UUUCCGUAGGUGAACCUGCGGAAGGAUCAUUACCGAGUUAUGGUCUCCCAGGCCCUACCUCCCAUCCUUCGUUUUUCUGACCUUGUUUUUUUGGCUUGCCCGCCACCGUGACAGGCCGCCAGAAGCUCCCCGCUUUCGGCCCCUUCCCUUCAGUACGCACCUUAACUUCAUAAUAAACAUGUCUUCCUAGAUAAGGUAUAUGAUUAAAAGAAACUUCCAACAACGGAUCUCUUCGUUCUGGCAUGUUUCUGAAACGCAGCCUCGCGUAAAGUCACACUU
rnacentral:misc_RNA from 1 species